rnacentral:lncRNA from 1 species
ACCACUUCCUGUUCCAGCAUCUACAUCAGCAGUUCUAGUUUUACUUCCGGUUUUAGUUAACUCACCUGCGUCCUGUUAGUAAUUACUCACCUAUAUUUAAUCACUGUCUCUUGCCAUAGUCCCCCGCCAGAUUGUCUGUGAGUACUAGCCAGCAUUCCAGCAUUUGCAUUUUGUAGCUUGUUCCGUGAAUGACCCUGUUUUCCCUGACCUUGCCUCCUGCCUUACCCUUUGAUCCUGCCUUGCUGUAAGUCUGACCUAAGCCUGCCUCCUGACCACCGACUGUCUGAUCCCUGCCUUUGUGUAUCGACCCUUGCCUGCCUGACUACAAGUACGAUUAAACCUUUUCGUCACCGAGCCUUGUCUCCGCCGUGCAUGUGGGUCCGCUUCCUGGAGCGCCGUGACAAAUGGUGGUCCGAAAACCCCACCAGUGAUAUUGUGGAUGCUGUCAGUAUAUAACAUCGCUUGUUUUGGCGCUUCAGGGCCACCGUCGCUGCCUGUCGCUCACCUUCACUGCCGCCUGUCUCCUUAUGUGGACACGAUGCCCGCUUGUGACCAACAUCUCCACAUUCAAAGCACUUCUUGCUUCCUGAGCUCUCGUACAAAGUGUAAAAAGCACCUUCAUAUUUAACUUUGAACGAGACAUUUAGCGUUUGUCCCGGAUCGCUCAGGUACAUGAACGCCUGCCUCUUUAGCGACUGAACGUGCUGCGGCCUCGCAUCCUUGCACCCCAAGCGAACCGUAUGAAAACCGCUGGCAAACUUCCCAAAGCGGGAAAGUUCCUUCUUCAGCAGCUCGUUUGGAAUGAAAGGCGGAACACCCAAGACCGUAACACGGGUGGAAGGAACAAACAGCGGCAACAUAGUCACAUAUUCAUCAUCAAGUACCAGUCCCCUUCUACCAGCUGAUGAACCAGAGCCUCUUCUCUGACAAACCUGUUCGAACACUCGCGCUCUCACCACGCUCCCAGCAUGCACCACAGAGGAGAAGAGAGGAGAGGAGGAAAGAGCUGCAGUGAAAGGCACUCACAACAGACUAAUGUGUUCUGCAGCAUCCAGCAGGUGUGUUUCUUGGACGACUGCCCAGUCUAGUCUGCUGACCAACAGACGGAGCCCAACAGAUACAGAAACACUAAUGAUUAUUGUCUAUCCAGCCAAUAAUUCUACCAUGUACUGUAACGUUCUGCAGCUGCUGCAAAUGUCAUGACUUGACCAAGGAGCCCAUGUGUGAGGUGAUGAGAUGCACAGAGCUCUGACACAUCUGAAAUAACUUAAUAAACUUCCUUAGGCUGCUUCA